UGGCAAACCCUCACUGCUGAAGCAAAGCAGUAUUGGUGGCCUAUAAACAGAAACACAAAUUCUUUCAGAAACAAACCUACAUGCAUAGAUCAACUUUCAGCCACAGGUUUGAGGUCUUACAGAUUCCAGCUUUCUGCUGUCUUUGGGACCCAGUCUACACCUGUUUUUCCUAAAGAGAGAGUUACCAAGGCUGCAACCAUGUGAAGGCUGACUUGCUCAUCUAAGCUUUCGCCUUUGUGUGCAAUUAUCAGAGGCUUCUUGUCUGGUGUGUGUUUGUGUGCUAGAAACAUGCCUCUCCGAGUAUCUACCCUGGGUAGCUGUAUACACAGAAAGCUCCAGAAACAAGUACUCCAUGUGCUCUUCAAGAAAAGGGAGAAAUGAUCAAAAACAUGGGAGAAUAUCGAGAUCACCAGGUCUCUCUGGGGGUUCCACCAGGGGCCAGGAAGAAUACAGGUAAGCAGCAGCGACAAUCCUAUCUCCUGCCUACAAUCCAUCCAGGAUUCAUCAUUUUUAUAUAAAUGGCCCAAUAUCUUUGCCAUUUAAUUUAACAAAAAGAUUAUAAACUAGCUGAACAAGGAUCUGCCUUUUAACCAGCCAGUAUCCAGAGAACUGCCAUAGAAGCAACCGAAUUGCCCAGUCCUAACUCAACCAUGAAGCCUCAAAAAGAAGUUCUAGUCUGCUAAGUCCUACCUUGCCCAUGGAUGGUGACAGAUUGCCUCAGUGGCUAUCACAGCCCACAUCCUGCCUCCAUAGGGAGCCUUCUCUGUCACAGUGCAGCUCCCACAUCAAGGCUGGGGAGUUUUGGAGAAGCGUGACUCUCCAGCCACAGCUGACCAGUGUAAUUUCUACUUUGCUGAACCCAUCUCACCCAAACUGAUCCUUUUCACACCCCAAAAAAUCCCUUGUUGACCAGCCAAGCCCUAAAAAACCCCUAGCAAAGCGGGGCAUGCUAUUGAAUGAGAAAAUCACUGGAGCCAACCAACGGAGCCCUGGGGAGCUGAAUGGAUGACCACAGGGCAGCCCAAUAAAAAUCACCGGCCAUUGCCUGGAAUCGCUCUCUGCGGGACAGCCUGACACACCACAGCACAUUUCCUGUCAUACCCAGCCCAUCUUCCAGCAACAGCCCAUCAAUGCCAAGAAGUAAAAAUAUCCAUCUGCCAUGGAGCGGUUCUCCUCUCCAGAAGGGCAACACACACGGGAAUGCUGGUCACAAUAUCCCAGUGUUCAGAUGUGGAAACUGAAGCAGCAAAGAGAAGUGUGGGGUGCUAGUCAGCUACACCUGGUGUGGACUGUGGGGUCAGGGCUCGCCAGGCCUCUCCUCUUUCAGCUGUGAAUUCAGUAAUCCCCCAAACCCUUUAAUUUGAAUUGUGACAGCUUCUCAAUCCACUCUUGAUUUUUUAAUAGUAUCGCUGCUGGUUUGGAAACGCUAAGCAGUAUAGGCACUUCCCCACGUAGAGUAAUGAUUAAAAUCAGCAGUGCUUUAGGCUCUCUUGAUACUUGCUGCAGAUUUAUUCCUUAAACAAGAGACUGAUUUAUUUCAACAAUUAUCUUCAGACGGACUAAAUUAUGUGCUUUCAGGGCUCUUAUUCACCACAAAAUUAAGAACACUGGGUGCCAGCCAUGGAAGCCCCAUGAUCCUUUGAGACUCAGCACUGACAGAGACUCAUCCUGACCCAGGAGAAAGAACUGUCUCUUUCCCAUGGCCACAAAAUGCCAUCCCUGACCUUCUGCUUGGCUCCACCAUUUGCACAAAUCCUUUGGCUUCCCCCUGCUUGACCUCCGGCAAGUUGCAGUGGACAUAUAAGGCGCAUGGCUCCCCGGGACAUCACUGGGCAUGCUCUGGGCCGAUGUCAGGACGGAAGAGUUAGGCUCUGAAAGGACUGACUGAUUGCAAGCCAGAUGCCCCACAGCAAUCACAUUUCCUAAGAGGAUCUGUAUUAAAAUGUUCUAUAAGACCAAAGAUUUUUCAAGGAAAAAUCUCUCUUUCAGUGAGAGCAGGAAGACUUGAUCAGGAACACUGAAAGCUUUUAUUUUUAUUUUAUUUUAAAUAUAAAAUCUAAGAAAGUGAUUCCCGCAUCUUAGGAGGGAGGACCUUAGCUUCAGCUGGCAAUCUAGGAGCACAUUUACUAUCAUGUAAGGCUACUUUUAGGCUUUGAUGAAUCAGGCUUUAAGUACAGAGGUUGGCAUGCUGUCGGUGAAUUCUUGCUGAUAAAAAAUCUCUUCACCUCCAAGAGCCUCAAAUCCAAACUAAAAUAAAGAGGCUGUUGCAUCAAGCAAAGUUUUGGAAGAGUGACUCAUGCCUUUCCCCCAUCACCAAAAACCAGAUCUCUGUUUCAUACAGAAGAACCCUCAAAUGUUGAUUCUCCUUUUCCCUUCCCACUCCAUUAUUUCUAUUUCCCUUGAUUUCAGCUUUUGCUGCCUUUAUGGUUUUACAGCUUUGACUCAAUAAACAAAAGCCGGUUGUUCUGUGUGUACUGGACUUGUUCCUGUUCUUUUCACCACAGACCAAGAUCACUUGAAAUGAACCAUUCACACUGCCUAAUGCUCAGUGUCAGCAGCAAGAUACUCUGAAAUCUGGAGUGUGCAAGCCUUCCUAAAACACACACUCCAGAAUUAAAGAUACCCCGAUGUACAAGAAACAUUCAAAUUGUAAUGUGAUCAUCCUGUAGAAGACCACAGGCCCUGAACCAACAGAUUUUCGGUACCGCCGUGCUAUGAGUCACUAUCAAUAUACCUCCAGCAGCAAUAGGAAUGCUUAUGCGCAGGCUGAAAAGUCAAGUUCAGUGCUGCAGCUCUCCUGUAAUUUAAAUACCUUUAUUUUCACUCAGCUCUAAUUAUUAAGUAGUAGCAGUAUCGUAUGCCAACUGGCUCUGCCAAGCCAUGGCUUUCUUAGCAAGAGAAUUCAUUGUACUUCUACAUUGAUAGUACAAAAUCUAAAAAAUGAGAGCCUUGGGAUGAGAUAAGUGUUGUAAAAUCUCAUCUAGACAUUUGUUUAUAAUAUAUGGGCAUUCAGUAUAAUUUUUAUUACUGUCCUAUUACAAUAGUGUCACUAUAUAAGUUCCACGUCUGAAAUAGUGGAUCUACAGGAAGAAGAUGAGAGAGCAGAAACAAGAGGGAUCCAGGGAUGGCUAAGUGAAAUGCUUAGAAGCUUAAAGAAGUAUCUGGAAAAAAUAGGUUGAAAACACCAGGAUUAUCUAUGGUAAAUGUAAAUGAGUUGAGAGUUACAUAACAGAUCAAACAUACAGAAAGUGAGUUAUGUCCUUUUCAGCCUCUCUCAUAACAAAAGACAAAAGUCCUGCCAAUGAAGUAGACAGAUAACAGUUGAAACUGAUUUACGAAAAGCCUCAAUAUGAACAACUGAUCUGUGGAACUGUCUGCCAGAAGAAUAACAGGGAAACAAAAACUGCUGCAUUUAAAAAUGAAGCAGUGUUUUUGAUUGAGAAUAUUGUAAGUUAUUUUUGACAAGAUGUAACUAAAUGGCCCCAUGACUUUGAUCCAAACUACUAAACAAAGGCUCAGGAUAUUUUGUUUCCUUUAGGCAAACAAUAAUUGCUUUCUAAUUUCUUUGCUCCUUGUAGUGACCAGUACUGACAAAUGGUAUCACUCUGGCUAUCUUAUCGAGUCUGACAGUGUUUGUGCUUCUCUAUUGCUUUCCUUCUUAUGUAACUGACUUCUCUAUAAUACAGUGAUAUUAAUAGCAUUUUCCUUUUUUAAAAACAGUCCCUUUCCAGCUCAGAGUUGUUAGAAAUCUCUUACAUGCAAGACCUUCAUUGUGAAAGAGCUACUUAUAUGAAAAUUAUUCUGAUUAUAGCUUUUGGUUGACAAAAAGCCAAUGACUAUUUUGAGUGAGAAUACAAUUCCUUUGCUAACAUACGUAACAGCUACUGUGAAGAAACUACAUUGUACUAGAAGGAAUGGAUGUAUUAAUAGUUAUGCAAAAGCAGCUGUUUCUAAUGUUUAAGAACCUUUUUUGCAGGCUUUUGAUCUUCUGGAAGU